AAUUUUGAACUCAACAAGUCUACACAAAAAUUUCAUCACAGCUUGAAAGAGCAUCACAAAAUUAGUAAUAUUUCCAUUUUGUAUUACAAACUGGAAAUGCGUAAUAUAUACAAAAUUACUGAAAAUUACAAACUUCGCAAGGCUAUAUUAUCCGCAUUUUACAACAUUUCGCAACGAAACUUUGGAAAAUUACUAAUUUUAUGAUGCUCUUUCAUGCUGUGAUGGAAUUUUGUCUAGACCUGUUGAGAUAAAAUU